rfam:Triticum aestivum genome assembly, contig: Triticum_aestivum_CS42_TGACv1_scaffold_052879_1BS
UGUGUACUCCCUCCGUUCCAAAAUACUUGACUUCCAUUUGUCCAAAAAUGGAUGUGCCUAUAUACUAAAACAUGUCUAGAUACAUAUAUAUUUUGACAAAUAGAAGGCAUGUAUUGUGCAACGGAGUGAGUAGAAU